ensembl:lncRNA
UGGCAGUGCGCGUCCCCGCGGGUCCCCCAGGGGGCGCGCUCCGACCGCGCAGCCGCGGCAGCGGCACCUCCAGGGACCCAUCGUAAUUACCACGAUCGCAACCACAGCAGUGGCAUUAAUAAUAGUCGUAACAAUAAUCGUAGUGCUAUAAUAAACAAGUAAACCCGCGCUAUUUCUCAGUCAGCCUCUAUCGUCAUUACAUCCUUGUUUCUGGACUUUUUUCCCCCUCCUGUCUUUUGCUUGGAGCUUCAGGUUGAAGCUCCUGGCUGUUGCAGCGCUGAGGCAUCCUCCCUGCCACCCAUGCACACAUGCAAAGAUGGAGCAAACAGGACAGGAGUAGGGGCACAAUAAAUCCUUAUAGGUCCCCAGUCUUUCCCCUAUAUUACUGACCUUUGCUGAUGAACACAGUUGUACGAGUAGUUCUUCACAGAUACAUUUCUUGCAUACUGGGUGGGAUGAGGUUAGCUCAGUGCAGAUCUGGCUGCCUCCUGCUGCUCUUGCCCAACACACGUUCUCAUUUAUCCUCACAGAACCAGGGCUCAGGCAAACCUUUAGCACCAAGCAGAUUUCCCAGGUGCACAGGUGACUGCUAAAUUGCACUAAUGUUAGAUGAGAAAAAGAGAAAGUCAAGUGAGGAGAGCAGCAAAUUCUCCAGGUUAAGAUGGCAGGUAGGCUAAGAUGACAGAUUUUGCUCCCCGCUCCUACUUAAUCAACUAUAUUAACUUGUUUUUCAGUGGAUUUUCUCCUUUUCUGAGUCUCACCACACCCUGCAGUGUCAGGGGAAUGUGUUAAGAACAUUCUGCUAUCCAGGGAAGGGCAUAGUUUUCUAAUCUGUGCACAAGGAAUAAGAGAGAGAGAGAUAUUUGGAGUUUAUAGACAGCUGAAUACUAACAUAAAUGAAUUUGAAGGAGACAGCUGACUGUCUGACAGUUGUCCAUCAACAUGAUGGGGAGAGACUGCUUCCAUUGCAGCUCUGGCAACAAGAGCAGCACACCCUGACCAUUUGGGCAUGCCAUUGGCUUCAGGUUGCUCACAGGCUCCCAGGAAAGCCUAGAAAGCCCAUGAUGUCUCAGUCCAACACUACUUCAGAACCUCAUUUUGUGUUAUCAUAGAACACAUAUAUUCUAUGCACAGUGAUAGAAGACAUCACACUGCAAAAAAAUUGUCUUACAACUGACAGUGUCAAAAUGAUCAGUCCUGGUGAAGGAAGGAAAGCAUCAGAUGUGUACAUUUCUACCCUGUGUUCAGCAAACUAUAGCAGGUUUUAAAGUGAAUGUGAGUCACGCAGGCCCAGAAAAGAUUUCCACCUCCCAUGUAACCCUAGGGACCAAACCAGAGCAUGGACUGCUGGUGGUGGAAGGGUUGUCUCAGUGUAAGGCUCCUCCUAGCAGCCCCUUUGCUAAAUUCUCCAUUUGUUCUUUCUUUCUUCCACUAAGGUAACCUUGAUCCAAGAGAAGGCAGUUUCCCAAAGACUCCUUAGCUAAUUUUAGAAAAAAGGGCUAACUUGCCCCAUUUAUUCUCAGUGUUAAGAGUGAAAGAGCCUUUCUGCACCAAUGGCUUUUUCUCUGCUUGCACCAGUGUGAGCAAGGAACAAGUCUGACUUUAACAGAAGAGAUAAAAAUAAAACCAGCAAUGGACAAAGUCAAUUAUAUUCCCCAUUGCCUAGGGAUGGGCAACCUAAUUUGCAGCUGACAGUAGUUUGAUGGACUGAACCAUCUUUUUUCUGAUCCAGCAUUCAGAGUAAUUUUUAUUGUAAACCAAUCAUCAUAGUGUAGGACUCUCAGUACUACCAGUGUCACCAUAAAAAUUCCCAAGGCAACACUAGUGUUGCUGCUGGGGUUUUUCCUUCCAUCCUUCACAACCUGACGUACUCUGGGAGAUGCUGGACACAGCACACCGUGCCCUGUUCUCAGCACGAGCCCUGGGCAGAACAACCAAUGGGUUGUGUGAGCAUAACGGUGCCAAACGUGAUGGUACCAGCACCAGGGGACACGUUCCCACUCUCAUUGCUGUCAUUUUGGCAGGGAUGCUAAAUUUAGUCUACUGGUUCGGAAUAUGCAUACAGCACAUUAAGCUGGGGGCUUAGCAGGGCACUCCAGCAUCUUCAUCUGUGAUUGGCUCUGAUUUUGCUUCUUUUUGUGGUUUAUAGGUCAUAAAAUUACAAUUUUACUCCCUAAGGAUAUUGUACUAGUUUGUGUCCAACAUCUGUGCACUCUAGUAAUUGCUAAGGCUUAGUGCAGUGUCCUUAUCUUCCCUGAACUGGGGUAGAAGUGAGGCUUCAGCCCAGGCUACAUUGGUCAGCACCGUACUCCAUUGGAGCCAGCUGGAUUUUAUUCUCACCAGAACCUGAGCAAUUUAUUUUGCAAAGCCAAAUCCCUGUUUGUUGGGGUUUUUUGUUGUUGUUGGUUUUGUUUUUUUGGGUUUUGGGGUUUUUUGGUUUUUUUUUUGGAGAUGUGGGACUUCACUGUUCUGCAAUGGAAGUACCUCACACUGCGUUAUAUAAGCUGUGGUUUGCACAGAUAGGAGGAAAUUUAGAAAAAGUAACCUGGAAGGUACCUGCAGGGCUGAGAUCCACGGCUCCUGCAGACGGUUUGCCCUACAUUCCCCUCCCAUCUCUGUGAGAGCACACAGUGUACCCAGAAGGCUGCAGCUACUCUUCUUUCCCCACAUUUCUGCUUAGCUGUGAAAUCUGUGCCUUCCUUCUUUCCACUCUAGUAUCCAUCAAGGACUGAUUAACGAAUGAUAGACAGACACCUACUAUUGCUAACAGGAAGAACAAAAGCCUAUAAUUUUCAUAAGACAGAUCACUGAGACUGCUCUCCUAUUGCACAGUCUUAUCAAUACCUCUACUGCCAAAGCACAGCCUGAAAGGAGCCUGAUUAAAGCUGUCAUGUCAGCCCAGAGAUGGUGAGGCAGGGUUGUGGUAACAGUGCACCUUUGCUUCUGCUGCUUCCAUGCUUUGUCUUCAGCACAGUGACAUGAACAUAAAAGUAAUCAUGCACUGAAACGCUAUAAGGAGCAAACCAUGUAUUUCAAGGAGCAAACCAUGUAUUUCCUACACUCAAAUAUUUGUUUUUAUAUCGAUCAAACAUAUAUAUUGAUUGUAUAAGAUAAAAAAAAUCAAAGUGAAGGUAGAGGAAUAUUCUCAUUUGUUGUGGUAGAAUUUAAAAGUACCAAUAGUUUAGGUAAAAAUCUUAGAAUCACAUAAGUGAAGUUAACUUAACAAGCAACCAAACACAGUGUUUGUGCCUCCUUACCUAAAUAAGUGCUUCGCCUUCCAUGAAUUUGGCUUGCUUUAGGUACUUCGCUUUACAACAGGCAGAUGUGGUCAAGCAGCACACUGUGUCCAGGCAGAGUCUUCUGGAAGCAUCUCCAGGUGCUCCUGGAAGGGGCUGUGCAGCACUUAUGUCCUACCACCAACAUGCAUCUGGAGAGAAUCACAGAACAGUUUGGGGUUGGAAGAGACAUUUAAGAUCAUCUAGUUUCAACUCUCCUGCUAUAGGCAGGAACACCUCCCUCUAGACUAGGUUGCUCACAGCCCCAUCCAACCUGGGCUUGAACACCUCUGGGGAGGGGUCAUCCACAGCUUCACUGGGCAACCUGUUCCUGUGUCUUACCACCCUCACAGUAAAGAAUUUCAUCCUGAUAUCCAGCCUCAAUCUACCCACUUCCAGUUUAAAACUGUUUCCACUCAUCCUGUCACUACCUGCCCUUAUAAAAAGUCCCUCCCCAUCUUUCCUGUAGGCCCUCUUCAGGUCCUGGAAGGCCGCUAUAAAGUCCCCCUGGAGCCUUCUCUUCUCCAGGCUGAAGAGCCCCAGCUCUCUUAGCCUGUCCCCAUAGGGAAGGUGCUCCAGCUCUCUGAUCAUCUUUGUGGCCCUCCUCUGAGCCCUCUCCAACAGCUCCAUAACCUUCUUGCGUUGGAGGCCCCAGAACUGAAUAUGCGUGUAUCUCCCAGCUGUAUUUUGGGGGGUGCAAUUUGGUAGAGGAGCUGCUGAAAUGGAGGAAGGUUCUCCAUUUCCCAACAAGGAGAGCUCACGGUUGGGUUCCCAGGAGCCACCUGCACAGGGCGUGUGUGUGGCUGCACGUCCCCGCGUGCACAGCUUGGAAAGCUUGCUGAGACAUGCAGGAAUAUUUUGCUAUGGGGCCGCAGCGGCUGUCGGCAAUUCUGGGAUGUCUGUGUGGAACUGGGGUGAGAACGGUGCCCUUGUCUCUGUGGCGCAGAUGGAAGCGAUAAGUCCUUGCAGAUCUGCUUCAAGAGCGGUCCUGUGAAAGGAAACAGAUUGCCUGGGGCCAGACAUUUAGAGGGUCUUACGCUUCUUUUUGCACUUGCAAAGUGCAUGUUCUCUUAGCCUGUUCUCUCAGGUGAAAUAUUGCCCUUCCAGAACAGACUUGCAUGGGGAAAUGUCCUGCGGUGCACACCCCUGCCGUGUGUUGCACUGAGCUGCCAGCAUGCAUCCUAGGGCAUCCUCAUGCAGAGAAAUUCCUAUCAAUGGGAAGGCCACCAUGAAUCCAGUUUUUGCUACCUAUCUUCAUUUUUCCACAGUUCUUUUCUGUGUUAAAAGCUUCCCCACACUCACAGUUGCUCUUCCCAAGGUCGGUGUUCAUGUGCUUGUCAUCCAACCUGCUUUGCUUGGAAUUUCCAUUGAAAUUCUGAUAAAAGUGCUUGGUGUUGCAUCAAGUUCUCAUCAAUUUCACUACCAUUUCAUUUAGGAAAAAAAAAAAGAGGUUAAAGUGUUGCAUUACAUAAAAAGAAUUUCUAAUAUUUUUUAACAUUUACUUUUUGAAACAACUUUCAUUUUGAGUUUCUAACAGAUUAGGGUUGCAUUAUAUAUGUUCUGAUGGUAUUAAAAAAAAUAGAAGGAAGCUAAACUAAAACAUUUUAAUCCAUGGAAAAUGGCUUUUCCCACACAUGCUUUGGACAGAUGUUGAAAUUGUGUCACAGUUUAGAAUGAGACUGAAUUAUUUUUUUUUUCCUAAUGAAACAAUACUUUCAUUUUUACAUGGCAGUUAUACAAUUUCAGUUUGUUCAUCAUAGAAUCAUAGAAUGGCCUGGAUUAAAAAGGACCACAAUGAUCAUCCACUUUCAACCACCUUGCUAUGUGCAGGGUUGCCAACCACCAGACCAGCCUGCCCAGAGACUGGUUUACACUGAAUGUAGAUUGUGGUCAAAAUUUAACAAUUGGAAAGGUCCCUUCCAACCCAAGCCAUUCUGUGAUUCUAUGAUUCUUCAGAAUAAUCUUCAAUGAGUUAGAUCCGACUGUGAUUGCUGCAAAACUUAGUCAGUUAUUUUUAUUACAUGAUCAGUUUUCCUCAAAGCCUGUCUUCUGGGUAGAUUUUAAUACAUCUAAAUACCUUAAUAUUGUUUUCUCAAAGGAGGAAAACAUUCUAACUCAUCCUAGGGAUUAUAAAAGUAGUAAUUUUCUCACAACUGGCCCUUAAUACAGCUAAUAGCUCUUGGCGUCACCUUAGGAUGGUUAACAAGGCCAUCAUUAACUGUGGUUAAUGAAAAAGUAAUUAAACUUUUUAAAAUCUAAUCCUGGAUGACAAAUCAUUAUAAAUCGUGCCCUUGGUUAUUCGUGUCACUAAUGUGAAUAAAUGAGUUUUAAGGUCUAUAUAUGCAUAAAACAAAACUGUAAGCAAACAUAGCAUGAAUCCUGCUGGUUGUCAAUAGCUAUUUUUUUUCAAUCGCUUUUAAUACUUCUUAAAAUGUCCAUGACUUUGGGUGUAAUUUUUUGAAGAUUUAAGAAGAAACCUUAACAUUUUGUGUGAGAAUCCCAAAAUCUGCUGUGGGAUUAUCCUCACUGACUUGGAAGAUCAUCAGCCAAACUGUGGAGAUUUGAAAGACGGAGGGCAGAGGUAUUGCAAAUCUAGCAAGACACAGUUCAGCAAAGCAACCUAACUGGAUUUCAACUCUUAUAAGCUGUCAAUAGAAACAGGAGACAGUAAAUUAAUAUAUAUAUUUUUUUCUGUUUUGAGUGCGCCUAAGAGAACUCAAUAAAGAAAUAGAAAUAGGAUCAAUACAUUCUGUCUGAAAAUCAGUUUAGAAGGAGCCACGGUGUCUCAAGGAGGAAACACUAACUAGUUAAAAAGCCUUUCACGAAACAAGUUAGAAACCUUCUGGUAAAUCCUUUGGAUGUUUCAGACAUACUGGCAUUAACUCAUAACCACCCAAACACUUCCCAUAUACGAUCAGUCCUAUUUAUGGCUUUUAGGUCAUAGAAUCACAGGAUCAUGAAGGUUGGGAAAGACCUCUCCGAUCCCCAAGCACAACCCCAGCCCACUCCACCAUGCCCACUGCCCACGUCCCUCAGUGCCAUAUCCAAAUGGUUCUGGAGCACCCUCAGGGAUGGUGACCCCACCGUUCUCUGGGCAGCCUGUGCCACUGCAUCACAGCUCUUUGAGAGAAGAAAUGUUUCCUAAUACCCAACCUGCUGUCAGGCUGAUACUGCCAAAACUCUUGUUAUUACCGGUAAAAUCUGCUUUGUGCUGUCAGAGCACCCUGAGGAGCUUGGAGGGCUGGAGCAGGGCACAGCCCUCUCCUCACACCUGGAGUUGGAGCUGCCUGGGACCACCAGCCCCAUCCAUCUCGUACAAUUUCCCUCAGAUCCCUGGGGGGGCUGCACACACAGAGCCUUUCUGCUGAUGAGAAGAGAGGAUUUCCUUUAAAGUAACUCCUUCACACAAUGAGUUCUCUGCCCUUUCUUCAGGUGCUCUCAGUACUACCCAGGCUAUUCCUACUCCUCCUCUGGGGCCAGAGGACGUGACCUGCUUUCACUUUCUCUUUUCUCAUCUUUCUCCCCCUCCCAUAAGACUGCAGUGUGCUCUCUUUACAUUACUCCAAGGCCAAGAACAGCCCACUCUGGCUCACCUUGUGAUUCCUCAGACCACAUCCCUCGGAGAUGCUCCAUCUGUACUCCGUGCAUUCAGAUCUGUCACGCUGCAGGGUCACCUCCUUUGUGUGUCACGUUGUCCCCUUGACCGGGGUGCAGUCAUGCUUUAAGGUAAAGGCCGUUCUCAGUGAACUUUAGAGACCUAGAAGUUACUUAUGUGCAAAAGUUAUUCCUGUUGUCAAAAGCAAAAGUAUUUCCUGCCUAUCCUUACUGCUGAAAAAAGCCCAGAUUGAUUUAUUUUCAGAUUCAGAAAUCAGUUUUCCAAGCAUAAGAAUGUGUAAUAGAGCAAUUACGGGCAUUCCCCCAAAGCUGCAUUUAAAAAAACCUCCCAUGAGGAGCGUUUCAUGUAUUUGACUUGGAAAUGCUUUUAUUUUUAUAAAUUCCUUUUUUGGAAGAGUGAUGCAAUACUAUCCAUAACGCAUAGUAUUGCUUUGAGAGGUCGUGUUCUGCAGCCAGCAUUGCUGCUGCUUGUGAUGGGAAGGCACCGAGGCAGUGUGAGCAAACUUUCUUGGUGACAUUCACAGCUUUGUAAAAAAAAGACAUUUAAACUGAUGAUUUUUUUUUUUCAGCUGUAAUUUGGAAAAACCCUAAGAUGUAAUUAAAUCUGGUCACAACAUUUCUGUGAUUGAAGUGAUGGAUAACAGAUAGGUUAUGCUUAUCCCUGAUGUAACAGCAUUGUAGCAAACACUCCGUUUAUUGCAUUAUAUACGAUAUCAAGCAACGUUAGUCAUUCACAUAAAUAGCUCUGGUCUGAUUGAGUUUGAUUCCUUAUUAGGGAGAGUUCCACAGUGCAGAGUGUUGUACCAGUAAUAUAACACAGAAAUUGCUUCUAGCAUGUGGAACGUGCAAUUAUAAUAAGCAAAUAUUUAACUCAAACCAUGCUCUUGGGAUCACAGUGUCAAUAACAGAUAUAAAAAAACUAAUUGUUUCAUCAGCCUGAGGCGCAUGAGAAGGGGCUGGAGCCAAGGUGGGCUGCCAGGGCUGCCCUGCACAUGGAGCUUAGCUUAUGGGAAGGUGAUGAUUAAGGUGAUCAUAAAUGCAGGCUGAGAUUUGUUUUAUGAUCAAGAUAUUGAACACCAAAUUAAUAAGCAUCAAGUUAUGACAGUAAUAAAUGGCAAUGGCAUGGGAAUGGCGGAAGGAAAAGCUCGGACUGUCAGGCAGCUGCUUGCACACAGGUGUAACUGCUGCCUGGCUGCUGCUCUGGGAAGGAAAAAUGAUUUCUUUGCGACUUUCCCUUUUGUAUCCCUUCAACUGGGACAGUCGAGACCCAAAGAAGCCCUGACACAAAAUAAAGCUAAGAGCCAGAUUUCUGCUCCUUCAGAGCCUUCUGCCUUUCCCAGCGAGCUGACUGGUGCUGCAACGUGCUGCUAUUCAUCAGCAUUUUCAAGCAGGAGACAGACUCGUGAACUCUCAUUUUCUAUGGGAGAUUUCUUCUGGAGCCGGUGUUGCCAAGUGGUGAUUAGAUAAGAUGACACCCUGGGAAAUUCAAGAUGGAAUAAAAGCCCGAGCGGGUAUGCAGCCGAGCUGCAAGGCUAUCAGUCCUUAUUGAAGGGGCCUUCAUCUGGGACAUUCAGAGGGGCUCUUUUAAAAGCACGAGCUCACUAAUGAAGCUUAAUGGUUCUGAAUUGAUGGUACCUUGCAGCAGAAGCUGCUUAGAUGCUUAAUAAUGGCAUAAUCAUCGUCCGUCAGCCAUUUGGUUGGCACAGAAUGCUUAUGCCUGCAUUGUUCCAUUUAAGAUAGAUAUAUUUACAUUUACUGACAUUGCAUACUUUCAUAUCAUAUCCCUCUACAUGUAUCACAAUAUCCUUUGUUUUGAAGGUGGGGCUGCAGGGAUUUGGAUCAACUAACAUCAUGGGAAAUUUAGGAUGAACCAGAACUGGUGUGCCUUAUAGAAGUAGAACUGUUUUUUUCUGCCCCAAUUCCAGUGCUCUUUUAUGGAAAUCUAUCAUCACUUUGUAAGAGUUUGUGUGUCAGAAUGAAUUGAGUCAUUAAUCACAAAUACAUCAAGUGAGAUCUUGGAAUACAAGAUGUAUAUGAAUGCAUGUGAAAACUGUUGAAGGAACGAAAAGAACAGAUAAAAUGAGGCAGCAUAGCAAUGAAAAACAUUGAAUAGGAAAAGUAACAAAAGAAGGUGCUAAAAAAAAAAUCAAAGAAAAGGCAACUAUCAUAUACAGAUAAAGGGGAGACAUAGUUAGAAUUAAAUGCGAGAUAUUCCGUAUGCUUUUAAAUACAUCAGUUACAGAAAGCUGCCAUAAGAUGACAUUGUACUGCAUUAUACUAAGCACACAGAUUUUAUGGGCCUUGCACUCCCAACAUCUGAUGUAGAACAUAAGUCCAAGCACAAUGCUGUGCAGUGGAACUGAAGGAUAAGGACCAUUGGGAAGAUAUGCUCUUUCAGACUUUCAGGUACUACUGGAUUUAUUUCACAUUUCUGAAUGGAUUGCAUGAAAGUAAAUUUAAAAAAAAAUAGAAAAAUAUGUGGCACAAAUAAUGGGAUAUUCAGCUGGAUAAAAGCACCGUUGGAUCCCAUGCUACUCUACCAGUGACUUUGAUGGUGAUGUAAUCUCAGAGAAAGCACUGAAUCAUGCUAUCAAUUAACUUGAGUAACAAUGUAUAUACACAGGAAGUUUUGCAUAGCAGACAAAUUUUAGUAUUUUGUGAAAAAAAAAUGGUGAAGUGAUUGGAGGAUAUCUGUUAAUUAGCCAUACAUCUUUUUGAACAUUCACCUAAAGAGAACCAAGAACAGUGUUAGCAACAAUGUGAUACAAAAUAAUUAGCUUGUUUUCAGGGCUUAAAUAGUCAUUACUUUCUUGUGAAGUCCCUAAUUAAGCUAAUCCUAGUUUAUAAUACAUUAGCAACCACUCUUUAUGUGGAAGCUACUUCUUAGAGGAUAAAAAUAACUUCAAAGUUUGAAAUGCUCAAAAACGUAUGCAAAAAUGUAGAGCUCAGGACAGGAGAAAUACAGACGAAGAAAUUCCUGAUUUAUUCCUUGCUGCCCACGUGCUGUUUGUUCACCUGAAGGCUGCAGAUACAACUGCUUAAAGGCUCCAGUGAAACAAUUUCCCCCUUUCUGCUCUGAAAGCCUGUUACCACGGUUUUCUUAGGAGGUCCUGCUAUAACAUUACCCAGUUAUUUCCUAAGAACCGCAAAGGUAUUCUUUCUCACUGACUCACGCUCUAAUAGAUGAAGGACUCAUUUUCAGUUUGCUAUUUGACUUCAGUCAAAGGAAAAGAGCUGAUAAUACGAAGUUAACGUAACACAAAGCACAAACCCUGGGCUGCAGAACACAGUGGGCUCUGACCCUUAUCCACAGAGAAAAAAAACAAAAGUGAAGAGGUAGAAAUAAGCUCUGUUUUGGGACUGGGAGGCCUGCACCUAGCUGCUGCCAUUUGUUCACAGUGGGCAGAAUUAGUGUCUUUCUCCAGCUUUGUGCUUUGCUUGCUAAUUUACCCACGGUCAAGUGGAGGCAAUGUUGAGUUACAAAGCCCCAAAGACAUGCAGGAGUAAGUUCAUUUUAUGCAAGGUGAUGGAAUCAGCUGAUGUGGCAAAACCCAGCGCCAUGUGGCCUCCCAGCUGAAAGGAAUGAUUGAUUGAAAAAACUGCUGAAAACUUGGCCAGUGAAUGCUUCAAAGAGAUCAACAUGAAGCAGGGAAGGCUGGCUCUCCCUGCCCCUCAGAAUUACCACAACAAGGAGCCACGUCUCCCAUUUAAAAACAGAGCGGAACCUCUCACUUAAAUAAUUUGUAGAAGCUUUGCUAUCAGUUUAUGCUCAAACUAAAAACUGGGAAAGAUAACCACAGUGAGCACGAAAACACCUGAGAUCGACUUUAUAUACAGCAAGCUGCAGGAUUUCUACAAAACUAUUUAUCCAAACAUCUCACUGAAACUUGGGGCUGCCUCACCGCGUCAUGUAAUAUUCUGUCUGUUCCCCCUGCACUUACAUUCCUGGUACGGUAUCAAUAUUUCACAAACUCUUCUUACAUGGGCUGUUUAAUAUGUUGUAAGAGGCAAAACAUACAUGGUAUACGUAAGAGAAAGAGAUUUCCGGCCAAAGAUAUUUAACAGACCUAUGCAACCUAGCAAGAGGCAUAAAUCAAAACACAAGGACAUGCAAUACAGUGUGAUAAUGGUGUUCAGCGAUGUGGCUGUGUGUAUAUAUAAUGCUUAUUUCGAAUUGCCCUCUGCUCUAUUAGUCAGUGUUAGAGCUCCUGAGCAGCUGGAACUCGGCUCCUUCAGUCUGCCCAGCUGGAAUUCAAAUAGUCCUUAUUACACAUUAUGUACGUUCUCACUGUCUCAUGCUUUUUUUUUUUAUUUUUAUUUUUUAUUUUUAUUUUAUAUUUGAGCAGAGCACAUUGAAGUUAGAAAAGAUUAAGUGGAAUUAAACAUGGAUGCCAUUUUGCAGAGACAUUCCUCAGAAGACACACUCUUUUUUUUUUUCCCCCUAGAUUCUCCUUUAGCUGUGUUAGAUCUGACUGCAAAUGACAAUCUGUACACAGGAACCAGGCAUUUAUAUCCCUAUCAUCACUUAUUAACUGUUGAUAUUGUUGCUGACAGUGUAGCGAUAAUAAUAGGGGUUCUUUCAACACCUGGCCUCAAGAUGUAGUUUAUGACAUUCAAAAAAUAUCUCAAUGGAGCUGACAGGUGAAGGCAUGUUCAGAGGCAAUUCACAGCAGGAGCAGUAUAUAAGUGCCAUACAAAGCUGACUGUGACCUUGAGAAGUCUUUGCCAGCCCUUAGGAGCUGACUUAGGCAUUCAGAAGCAAAGUCAUUUUCUCUUAAUAAGGUAUCACUGUCUCCAUCUGUAAAUCACUCUACAGCGUCAGCGUGUUGUAGUUCGUGUAGCAAAAUGACUAAUAGGAAAUAAUAGUGUUGCAAUAGAGAGUAUAAGGAGAGCUGUGAUUUGAGUGAAAAACACACUACUGGAAAGCCAGCUGUUCCCACUUCCCUGACUAAUUGAAGGCAUGAAGUGAAUGCACUGAUGUGCUGAUUUCCUCCAACUUGCAUAAGAUGCGAGGUUCUUCGAAGAGGCAGUAGGCUUCUAAAUGGCUUGGGCCUGAAUAAUGGAAAAUACCUUCAGCUUCCAAAAUUAUUGUUUUACAGACAACUGGAUGUGAGCCUUUCAGCGAGUACAUCACCUGCAGUGCAAAUAAAUGGAUCCUGUCUCCACAUCUGCAUUUACAUGGUGUGCAGCACCUGUAUUCAUACCGUGGUCCACCACAGCCAUCUACAGGUCAAUGCACAGGGAUUCCUCAGCAGACACAGACAUUUCAAUGAGAGAAGAUUGCUGUGAAGACCUGAAAAUUACUGAUGUAGUCUAAAGCAAGCCUAAUCUCUCCAGUAAAUUCACAUUCAUGGGACUUGAAAAGCAAUGAGUUGGGAGGGACCUUGGCUAGACAAGGGACAUCCAAGAUGUGGCCAAACGAGAAAUGGCAUCAGGAUGGUAUACAACUAUUUCUAUGUCCUGUGUUAAGACUGGAAAAACCAGCAGGUAAGGUACUGAUUCAUGGGCACUGAAUGUCCAUCACCAAUAUAAAAUUGGCCCCUUCCGGACGCCGCAAGGGAUGCUCCAACAAGACUCGUGUGCUGCCCUAAGGUCUUGCCAGAUAAACUUUUUCUAAUGCCCAAAGAAAUACAUCUCUACACCUUCUCCAAAAAUAAACUGACAACCCAGAGUGAUAGAAACAAGAUUUCUCAACCAACGUGUUGUUUAAAGUUGAAGGAAGCACGUUUCUGUUGCAGUAGAACAGACUAGACAAAGUCAGAGGAGAUAUUAUUAGCUAGGCACCAUCCCACAGGAUCAGAGAAACGUUACUAUAGGAGAGAACAACGCAUUGCAUCACUGACAGAAGUGAAAUCUCGUCCCUCAGAAGCCAGGAAGUUGUUGCAGUCCUUUCUCAAGCAGCCUUUGCUCCCACUCCUCAUAGUCCUCCUAUGACAGUUCAUUCAACACCCCAGUUCUGACAGUAAAACCACAGGCAAUGGAACCAGCUGGUACUUAUUCUCUUUUUGACCCAACUGCUUUAAGACUAAAUAUUUCUUCCACAGGAUGGAAAAUCUUAGUUUUGGUGAAAUAUAUAAAUUGUCAGUUCUGAAACGUGAAUCCUUUGGCCUCUUGAAAAAGACUCUCCAACAAAUAAAAAUAGAUGUUUUUUGACCCUUCUUAAGCAGGCUGUGAUCUCCUUUCAGAGCCUAGUUACUUAAUAGGACAGCUAUCUGAGAUCACACUACUGGGGGGUCUGAAGAAUAUAUUAUCUUGCAGAAUAUACUAUAGCUGGAAUUUCCAUGAAGGAGAAACAGAACGCAAAGACUUUUGGAGGAAGAAUUGCAAAUAAUGAGGAAGUACACAGCUGACUUAAAUAAAUACAUGAGCAAAUACAUGUUGAUUGCUACUCCAUGCUGAUAAAUGCAUCCUAUUGAAAACUGGGAGAAGGGAAAAUGUCUGCUAAAUGGUAUAGUGCUGCUGAAUACUAACCAGGAAAGAGAUUUUAACUUUAUUGUUGGGAAAUCCCCAAAGCCUUUGCUGUGCUGCUUCAAUAUGCAGCUGUGGCACACACAGGACAAACAGAAUGCUGUGUAAAAAAAAUAAGCCUCUGGGAAAGGAGCUGGAGAUGCAGACCGACGCAUCACUGAGCCAAUGGUAUUCCUGGAGCAGACAUAUUGCUCUGAUUGGUGUUGCAUCGAUGAUGAAAUUGCUGACUUAAUGAGUUAAAAAAAAAAAAAAGCAAGUAAGAAGUUGCAGAGUUGUUGCUAAUUGUUUGAAAACAAAUCUCAUGCUUUAAAACGUAUUUGGAAAUAUCUAGCAAAAGCCUGAAUGAACAGCAAGCAACCACUGAGAUGGUAUUAGAUAAAUGGCAGCCAAGUGAGGAAUAGACACAUUUGAAUCAGAUGAUUAUAUUUUUGGUCAAGGUGAUAAAAUCUGGUGUCACAGUUAAACAGGAGGGUAUCAAGCACUAAUUGCACUUAUUUUAGAGAUGGCUGACAUUCUGAAAAGAUUUCAUAAAUACCCCCACAUGAUCUCAGAUAUUUGGUGAUGGUUUAUGUUACAGUCCCAGCAGUACAUCCGGAUGAAAUAGGCUCUGUCAAUGUUAAUUCAAAUCUUUGAAAAGCUGUUUUUAGCUCUUCAGUCUUCUGCUACGUCUUGGGAGAGGUAAAAAAAGCUCCUCUAAGAGUUCUAUUAUGUGAUAAAGAGCGAGUCACACAAAUCUGCUCCUCAAAGAGGAAAUCCAGCAUUUCAAAAUGUAAUACCACGGGUGAGGAAACGCUCAGAGUAGACACAACAGCCCUGCUAUUUUCCUGGUAAGCGUUGCAAUAUGGUGGAUGGUUUAAAAGUUUAAGCCAUGUAAGAGUGUCGGCUGUAGGCAUUAGGAGGGACUGAAGAGAAAGACACUGCGUCUGGGGGGAGAUGUAUUGAAAGAAGAAGCUUGAGGCUUGCAGGGCUUGGAAGAUGCUGGUUCACUGCCCUGCUAUGCCAAGCAUUUCCAGAAUGACCUCGGACACCCUCAGCCCUCUGAGCUUCAGCUCUUUACAAAAGCAGCUCCCUACCUCAAAGAUUUGUUAUAAGGCAAAAUACGGUCCAGGCUGUGAAGCAUCUCCAGUAUGGCCAAGUUUUACAAAUACCUGUGAUCUGUUGAGAUUUGGUUUUGGUCUACAUGCCACAAAUUCCCAAGUACAUAAUAAAGUCAUUUUAACAACAUGGUUAUACCAUUUUUUUGUAUGAAGACGAGCAAAUAAAACCUGAAGGGCAAUCCAAACUAAGUGAGAAUGUGUUCCUUUAGUGAAAAACAGACUCACACUUUUCAAGCAUUCUGAGCUGCUGGAUCCCAAUAUGAGAGACAUACCUACAAAUGUGCUGAAAAUAAGGGAGCAGCAGCGUGGAAAUUAUAAUUUUCCCAUUAGAAUUUGCUAAGAAAUGCAGCUGUGCUUGCUUUCCCUACUGAUCCCCAGCCUUCAAAUUCCUCUAAAUUAAAUUGUAAAAUAAUGAUCUCCUUUUCUGUUUUCUGCUAAGCUACAUAGUUAAUCCCUAAUACAGAAAUAUAUAAAGAACACAUAAUUUUAGGAAAACCAUUAUUACUAAAAUACAGAAGGCCUCAGACCAAAGGGUUCCCACAAUUUCCAAUGCACAUUUCGAACCCAGAUCCUUUAGAUUUGCCUCGGCCUAAUCCUUUUGUUUGUAACCUGAUUUUAGGAAGAAAAAAAAUCAGACUAUGAUUUUAACGGGAACAUUCGGUUGUGAUAGCAAACACGCAUCCUGAAAUAAUCUGAAACAGCCUGUCUGCUUUAGCUUUUUUAAGCUUAUGAUUAUUUUUUCCUGGUGAUUUCAAAUGACUGCAUGGUAAGAGCAGCAGACAGGCCUGGAAGAGGAGCAUCUCUGUUAUCAACAGCCACCCAUGCCAGCAUGUUGAACGUAACAGAGCUUCUGAGCUUGUAAGGACUAACACGUGGAAGAAAUAUUAAUAACUUUAAUUAAAGUUAUUCAGUUAUCUGGGAUUUCUGUGAGUUUAAUAAGGUCAUUGAUGUCAGAGGAAUGCAGGUAUCUUAAAUUUCUCACUUUCUCUACCAAAGCGAACAUGGCAUUUAAGUACAUUGUCAGCCUAUAUGGCAUUGUAAUUCUUUUAAAGUAGGAGGUGUUUAAGAAGCAGCACUUGCAGCUACAGGCAAGCCUCAUGUGGGGGGGGGGGGGGGGGGGGGGGGGGAGGUGGGGGAGAGCACUUGAAUGGUAGCGUUGUUGGUUUUGUUUACCAGGGACCAGCUCUGUCCCAUAUUGCCAUUAAGUGGCUCCAUCCUCCAGUGCCCUCAAGGCACAGAAAUGGUGAGAAGCAGACAAGGGACAUCUCCUUUUGUAAGAGGCGUUAUAUACGAUACAUAACUACAUUUUCAAACUGCUUUUAUUAUUAUUACUCUUUUUAACAUGCUCUCUUUCUCUCCAGCAUCUCCUUCUACCAGGUCAAAACAAAAGUUGAGGGGAACAAAAAGACUGACAACAAAGAAUUAUUCUGGGACUUCUGAGAGAAGCUAGGAUAUUUAUGGAUUUAUUAUAUUCCCUGGGAUAACAAGUUUCUGAGAUAUUAAUUCGUUUCCCCGUAAUUAAAUAAAGAACACUCUCUACGUGGCUAUAUAGAAUAAACUAAAAUGAAGAAAGAACGUGUUGUGGAAAAUAUGGAGAAGUACAACUAGAGAAGUGCAACGUACUUCAGCAGAAUCCAGGUAAUAUAUUUUAAGAAACUGUUUCUAGCAGAGAAAAUAACUGCUAAAAGCAGGUGUUUAUUCUGAAAGCUGCAGCAAUAUUUUUCUGUCAUGUCACAUUAAAUCACUCAGGUUGCAUCAUGUUGUGCUCCACUACAUCAUGUUAGUAUAUAUGGCGGAGAAGGCAAAAUGCAGUAACAGGAUGUGACAGACAACACUUAGCAAAAAUAUUCACUUAUUUGACUCAGAUACUUGCUAUCAGUUUGAAUUGGGAUACAUGGUACCAAGCAAAGCUGACAGAUAGAAGCAAACUCAGCAAGGAACUCACCCCACGUAGAUCCAAAAGCUUCUUGUCUCAUACCCAGUACUCGCUCUCCUGGUGGUCACUGCUCUCCUCAGCUCUCCUCCUCACCAUUCCUUUCCUUGAUGUAAGUAGUUCUACCAGCUGGUUGUUGUUUCUUUUGAUAUAACACAUGAGCUCCCCAUGUGGGACUAAUCGCAUCCUGUUGUACUUAACGAGUUCCCUUAAAUGACAGUUGACGGAAAUGCCAUAAAUCAUUUUUAUAUGAGUGAAAUUGUGAAUUACACACAAAAAAAGAGUGCCUGGGCACUGUGCAUUUAUGUAUACAGAGGGACUAUUUCAGUUAACAAGAAGCUUAUUCUUGAAGGCACCUAUAUUUUAUACUGUGGCAAAGUCUUUCUGACAGACUUAAAAAUAUUGAGGGUCCUUUAUUGCUCUUAGAGGAAAUAUUUCAUGGCAAUACUUCUGAAAAAGGUUUAGCAAAGUAGUGAAUGCUCAUGUAAGUGAAUCAAGUAAUCCCCCAUAACAAGGCAGCUGAGGAGCAGGCCUUUCUUCACAAGAGUUUCCAAAAGCACUGAUCCUGACCUGGAUGAGGACUUCCAACCCACAGAGCACCUCUUGGACAGCCUUCAAACCAUGACGUGUUCUGUACAAUCUGUCCUAGCAGGAAUUAGGAUGGGAGAACUUCAUGCCAAGUAUCAACAGUGCCAGCAAAGGUGGCUCAAUGGCCUAAGGCCAAGCUGCUGAAGUGUGAGGAAAUUUGCACACGGACAUGAAGACUUCCCUCUUUCAAGAGGUGGAGCCAAAGAAAUAGGCCAAGCUACCACGUGUAGUAUCUGUAUCUCACCAAUACAGACCCAAUCCAGUCAAUCACAUGGCUACAACUUGAAGGAAAGGAAUAAGGAGAUACCAAUGAUUUGUAGGAUCAUGAAAAGAAAGCAAUGCAUGUCAAAACUUAAGUUUGUAUGAUGGCAGCAGGGUGCAAGAUCCAUGGUCCUUUGCUUCAUAGAGGAAAUUAAUUAGAACACAGAGGGAAGUGAUUAAAUGAUGCACCCAAGUAAUACAUGCACCCAUUUCAUGGCCUAGCACUCUCCUGCUUUUUCACACAUGUAUCAUCUCAUCAGAGCCCUAAAGGAAAACAGUGGAGGACCACAGCAGCCCAAAAUAGGCUCUCCAAAAUGCCACAAACAGGGGACUUCUCCUAGCAGCAGAGGACAGCUGAGAUCAACAAGGCUUUAUACAAAUGUUAGGGAAUAGAACAGAAGUAAAAGGACCCAUUCUUCACAAAGCCCACACACUCCCUGAGAAGCUGCUCAGCAAUGAGGAGGCCAUACUGGCAGCCAUGUCCUGAGGUAAUUCCUUUGUUGUGGUCCUGGACUGUGAUGAGAUCCAGGAAAAUUGGAAAGGUCAAUGGGAGGUGGGAGGACAGAGAGAGCAACACUGGGGGAGGCUGGAAGUGGCUGGGGUGCUGAUAUGAAGCCAUGAGUACGUUAAACUUGGUAUCCUCAUCCAGAACACAGCCCUUACCCAGUAAGCAUGCUCUGUGGUGUGUGCAUCUCUCUCUUGUGCUCAGUCUGGGUUGGAUCCUUCACCAGCCCAUUUCUCAUGUGCCAUAAUGCACACAGAAAUGCUGCUCCUUGUGCUUGAUCACACUGCUCCUUUGGUGGCUUUAAUUAAAGGGUUUCUGCCCAUCAGUGUCUGCAGAGGCCUCUUACCUUGUGCUUGCUUUUGGAGCCUGGUCCCGGGCACAGCAGUGCCAAGUGAAAAACCAUCCUCUGAGCAAGUGCUCUAUCCUCGUCUUACCUGCUGAAAAAGAAUUUAAAAAUGAUUAAAUAAUUAAUACUGGGUGUUGCUUAACACUUGUUAAGAGUCUUAGUUAAUAAUUUUCUGAAGCUUUUUUUUUUUCUAAUUUGGGAAUAAAACAGAUAUAAUUGAGCAUGUCAUUCCAAAGCAACAAAUAACACUGUGCAGAGAAUUGAAGGAAACAUGUUUCUUUGAUUAGGAUGUUUUUCUCAUUAACAGGAUGUUCAAAAUAAAGCAAAAAUAUUUGAUGCACAGAGCCGGUGGCAGUAUCAAGUUAACGCUGGCGUGCUCCUGCAUUUUACCUCAUGUUUACUAAUCAAUCAGAAAGGACUCUUGCUGCCAAGAAAGGUCACAUCUUUCAUCACAAAACUGAAACUCUUUGACAACAAACAAUCAGAACUUCACUGCUCUGUUUAAUGUGGAUUCCAGCACAGAAGACCCAGGCUGUGGGAUGGUGGGUGUGGGGUGAUGGGAACGUGCAGAGCUAUGAUUCUCAAAUGUUUGUUACUCCCUACUGUGAGUCUGGAUGUCACAAGCAAAAAUGUGCAUGUGUUAAAAGCUCUUGAAAGAGCUGGGGUGUAAUUGGCUGAACAUGAACGCUGUUUUUGCUAUUUUCUUUUCCCUCUGCUGGCUGCCUAGGCAUUAGCAUCUCCAAGGAGUCUUCUGGGCAGUGACAAUAGUGGGAUGCAGACCCAAGCUGGCCUGGAUUUACACCCUUGGUCCCCUGGAGAAAUCAUUGGUAUGAAAAGAUGCACAUGUUACUGGCAGCUAUAGCACAUAUUGCAUGGCAUGACACACACAUAAGUGAGAUUAAUAUGAGUUCUGGGCAUCAUCAGCUCAAUUAAAACUGUGAUUUUUUAGUUCAGACCUACAGGCCAUUGCAGAGAAGAGUAAUCAUAAGGCAGAAAUGAGUUCCCUAGUUAAAAAUUAAUUCCCUAGACUAAAAAUAUAAUCAAAUGAUGUCUACAGUAUUUUAUGAAGAGCUGAGAGGAUAAUAAAAUUUAGAGCAGUGCAACAUUUGCAUUUUGUUCAUUUCUAUCCAUAUUUUUCCACACAUUGCCUUUCUCUGUGCUUGUUAAUCACAUGCACUGCUACAGCCCUGGCAUUUUAAGAUCACUCUUCACAUCGAGAUUGAAAGGAAACUAAUUACAAUUACAUUUCAGGGUGGUUGUUUAAAGCUGGUACAGCAUUGAAUACAGCAGAGGAGCCUUGACCUUUAUUUGUAAGCAUGGAAAUAAGGUAAGGAUGAAAGAUUGCUUUUCCUCCAGCUCAUAGGCAGGGAUCAGGAGGCCCUCCAGAGAAGCAGGGAGGUGGAAAGUCCCCAUUCAAUUUCUCUCCUCGCCUCCUUUCCCGUGCUGGCAGCAGAGGCCAGUAGUGCUAUGCAGAAGCCGUGCUCUACGGCAGCGAGAGGUGAAGGGAAGAAUCGCACAUGUUGCAGCUCCCUCGGGCUGCUGGAAGUAUAAGCAGUGAAUCAGCAGGGCUGAGGACCUGGCUGUUUUGACCCCAGCCCAGCUCUUUUUAGUCAAUUAGUUUAAGGCAAAUCCUUCCCUGGGGCUGGACACAGACACAAGCUCACCUGGUGCUUCAUGCUGUGCUGAUGCAACGAUGUAAGGUAUCGAUGUUCAUGGGCUACCUGAGGGCAAGAGUUGUGAGUGGUGCUGCAAUCUCUGCUGCUCGCAUUAUGACUCAGUGGUACCAAUAGGAUCUGUGUAGUGCAUCAGGGGAAGAAAGAGGACCCCUAACCCGAGGAAAUACAGGUAAUCUUAGAAUAGUCUUAUUUCCAUUAAAGGUGAUUUCAUCUAGAGUGUGCUGAGUGGCAAAUUUACCCAGGAGGUUUAACUUGCUUCUCUGUCUUCACAUUUUCAGAAGUUUAAUUUUAGUAAAUUUGUACUGUGCUCAAAAUAAACCAAGAGGUAGUUCCACAAACGGGUUCAAAUGCAGGAACUGCUGUUGUGAUGGAGCUCUGGAUGUCCCUUUCAGUACCAUCACCUGGCAUUUGAAAGCUUGUCAUGGUGCGUAUCAACCCUCAGGAGAUCUUCUGAUCUCCCCACGUUAUCACAGCUUCACACUGAAGUGGGUUCAUUGGAGAUACAGCACUGAAUGCAUUCUGCAUGCCAGACCCACAAAAUGUAGGCAGCGAUUGUACUGCUUCUUGUAUGUGGUGCUGCAUUCACCCUACACAGUCAUUCCAUUCGCCAGCCCCCCUUUUCUGGCAGAAGUCAUUGCUGGAUCCCUGAAGUCCAGUGAAUUUGAAGAUCCACCAGGUCAUUAUCAUCUGUGGGCUGGAAAAGCUCCUUUUGGGAUAUUAAACAAUUAAAAGAGGGAAACCCUCCCCACACAAACCCAUCCCACAGCUCCCAACCUCCAUAGGCACAGUGCUGGCCUACCCAGCUGGCAGAGGGCCACGCUGUGUUGAGGGCGCAAACUUGGGUGAGGAUGCUGAGGAUCUGGUUGCCACUUCAGCCAAGAAAUGAAGAAGGAUUCACAGCACUUCUGUGGUGCAUUCUGGGUCUGUCUGCAUUUUCAAAGCAAAAAUUUAAUCACGCAAAUAUUUACAGAAAUUUGAGAAAAAAAUAAAGACCAGUGAAAGCCGCCGCAGUGAACUUCUAAUUACAAAUCCACCAAGUGUUUAUGAAUAAAUUUAUCUAUUAUUUGUCUUGCUCUAGCACUGCGCAUACUUUGCCUUGUACCAUUACAGUCUGAAGGAAACAAUAUGCGGCAUGAAAAUGAAAACAAUUUGACUUAAUUAUUUAUACUAUUACCACCCUUUUGAAUUAAGCCCUCUAUUUCUUUGGUAUUUUGUAAAAUUUAACUGGUAAUUAUGCUUGUUUAAUUCAUUUAUUUCUCUAUAAAAAAAAAAAAAAAGAAAAGAAAAAACCCUACCAGAAUGCAAAGUGCCACUAUGUUCUCAAAUUAUAAAUGAUUCUUUUAAGCUUUUAUGACAAAAAAAAAAUGUAGUAUUUUCUAUCACUUUGUUUAAAGCGUGUCUGGCUACGCUCCAACACUAUUUAAGUAUAAACAGGAAAAGCCUUGGAGGACAAGUAAUCAUACUUAAAUGACACAAAGAUCAUUAAAAUAAUGCUCAAAAACCACGGCAAAAUGAGACAUUGCAAGGCUGUUUUCUUCCUUGGAGUGUUUCACCAGAUGGUGAAGAGUGCUGAAAUAGAUUCGAGAGAGAAGCAAAGAGCAUUUCAUCAGCUGUCUCACACCAGUGCCGUGCAGCGCACACAGCCCUCAUCUGAGCUGGUGUGAAGUGGCAUCAUCUCCUACCUCAGCCUCACCCAGCACUGAGAUAGGGAGAACACCGAGGUGCUGGAAUGAAGCUGUGCUGAAUCAUGGCCUGGGAAAUCCCUGCUUUGUCCUAUGGAAGUCACCGAGCAGAUUUAUUCGGAGAUGAGAACAAAUGAGCACGUCAGCAGAAGUUAUUGUGGCAAUUUGUGAAAGCCUUAAUGGAAUGUUUUCUGAGCUCACAGAGAAGAGCUGUGCCAUUAAAUUGCUGCACAAUAAUUUUACUUUGAUACUGGAAAGGCAUUUUGUUUUUUUUUUAAUCAGAAAUGACAGCCUACAUCAGUGGUGACGCGUCAGCUACUGGUGUUUAAAUACAAGGGUCUCAGAAGUCAAUCUUCACUCACAUAAAGGAAAAAAAAAUCAUAUUUCUAUACAUAUAGUUGCUGUAUGAAAUAUCUAAAAGUGAGAUACCUUUGCACUUUUAUCAGUGUCUCCAUUCUUGGCUGAAGAACUUUACAAAGACCUGUGGGAUUUGUAUUUCUUCCAAUGACAUUACCUUUUUGCAAACUUUGUCAGAAAUAUCAACAUAAUUUCUAAUUAAUAAUAAUAAUAAUAAAACUCUCUUAAAUUUUGUAGCUUAAAUAUAUACUGGAAAUCCUUUCCUCUUGGCUAGAGGCUUCUACUUUUAGGAACGUUGGUGAUCAAAAUGAGUGCUACUCAUCCAUCUGCGUUCUCCUGAACGUUUAAUCUCUGCAUUACAUGUAUUUUGUGGAAUCCUUAAAUGUACAAGACAAAGUAUUUGGAGGUCCUGAAAUCUUCACUGGGUUCUGCUAGCCUGUUACCAACCUGGCUCUUCCUAGAUCCCAAUGGAAAGGCCUGCUGUGCUCUAGGAGGUAGCCUUAACUGUACCAGAGCUGCAAAACCACAAUAGGCAGAAGAGGUGCCCUCUGAAAGAGAGGAUUUCAUAUCAGCUGAGUACAAGCAGCUGAGCCAAGCAGUUGGCAGAAGGAUGUCAGUGUAUUUCCAAGCUCCCUACCUUCCAGAAAGGUUGGGUUUCUCAACUGCUUCCUAACCAACAUGCCUGGCAAAACCAGAUCCACAGGAAAACUCAUCUUUUGUAGAUAAAUCAGCCUGAAAUGGAAGGUGACUUCAUUUCCAAUUGGCAGGCAUUCUGGUUCCAUGCUGUGCAAGGAAACAGCCUCUCUAUAUUACAAGUGUCUUUGCAAUGAGUAAUCCUAAUGUCCUAAUAACAUCUUAUGCACAGCUCUUGAUAUACUUCCAUUAUAUAGAUCUAGCAACAAAAAAUGAAAUAAAAUCCCCCAACACUAUCAAUAUCUCCACACUCAACGGGUGCUCAGAAGAGGACCUUGCAAACUGGAAAGGAUGAAUUUAAUUUUUGCAGUUCUUUUGCAAAGACCAGUUUGCAUCCAGCUUAUGCACUUAAGUAAAAAAGCCUGUGUGUGGAGAGUUCUCACCAGUCUGUGUUAAAUGAGUUGCUGAUUUUAGCCCCCUUCCUUGAAGACAACUGACCAUUAGAUACACGGAUACUGUAGGUGACAUUAACUCUGCCAUCAUCCUCAGGCAGCGGCACUGGGUCGGGAUGCAGAGUGUCCCAAAAUCUUACAAAUGGACUGUACCUCCAAAUGGCUGUGAUUGAUCCUCAAUGUUAUUUCCAAGCCAAAUAAUCUGGGAAAUCUGGGUGUUGGGAGCAAUUUGUGCCUCAGUUUCUCAUCUGUAAAACAGCAAUACAAGGACAUUUAGAAAACUUAUUUUUUUGCCCUAAAAUGGAUUCUUUUAUUUCUAGAAGGGUCCUUGGAGGAAUAUCAGGUCUUUCUGAUAGUUAUUUUCCAAAGAAAACCUAGCAAGAGCUGAUAGUUUCUGUCUUCAGCCAGGAAGCGGCUUUCUUCCUUGGUUUUAACUUAGUUAUGCCACCUGAACAGUGGCACGGAGGCCUCAAUGAGGAUCCUUGCUUUAUACUCAGAGAAGUCUCUGCGUUUGCACUGACUGCCAGAAGCUGCAGAUCUGGGGACUACAGCGCCAGUGAGGAGUUCUUCAAACUUGGCAAGAGUCCCAUUGUACAUUUAUUUUAUAUUCUACCUAAAUUCCAGGCAAAAUACCAUUUCUUGUACUUAAAUACUAAUGGUUUUGAGAGACGAUAAAAGCUUGAAUCAUACAGCAGGCAUAUCGAAUUCAAAUCUUUGAACGUGUUAUGCUGCUGAGAGCUCUGUCCCCAGUAGCUGGCAGAGGUUGCUCUGAUGUUAAUGAUUAAUCAGGGAACUUAUUUUCAGUAAUAAAGCACAAAUAUUUAAAUGAUUAAAUGACCUACGAGCCAGCAUUAUGAGGAAUGUGUUACAUGUGAGCAGCCUGCAAAGCAGCACUUCCCAGCUCAUGGACAACACAGUGCCCGCUGAGCAAUGCCAGCACCUCUCUUGGCCACUACUGCUUCUCAGGAGGUGGUGGAAACUGGGAUUCCUCCUUGAGUAUAUAAACUGUGUCACGCCAGCCUUUAAAAAUCAGGUUGCUUUUUUUUUUUUCUCCAGUGAGGAGUCCUGUUGAUUUUAAUUGGAUACUUGAGUUAAAAUAAGAGAUACAGCUUCUUUGCAUUUAUUUACUGAGUCUUUUUUUUUUUCACUUUUCCAGCUAUUAAUUUCCUUAAAUGUAAAGUGACAUCUUUAAAAUGAAAAUGGCUUAUUGCUUGCCAGGAGCAAAGCCUGCCUAAUUUAAGAAAUUCAGAAUUAAAGCUUUUGAAGCAUAUCAGGGAGUGUUUAUACAACAAUUAUUGCAAACAUCAGCCCUGCUCAUUGCAGCCUCUUCAGGCCACCACCAAUGCCUCUAACUUCAUUGCCAACCUUCCCCACCCCAAGAUGUUUCAUCAGUUGCAUAAAAUCAGGUCAUUCUAUGAUUUUAUCCUUCUUAUCACCCCCCAAGCACUCAAACCCAAACCCAACCAACCAAUUGUUUAAAAUUAAGUAGUAGACUCAUUAUUAAUAACUGAUAGCAGAUGAAGGAGUGCAGUGACCUCUCCAACAGAGCAUUUAAAUCUUUGCACUACACGCUCUGCUUGUGCUAGGCUGGUUUCACAAACAACAGCUGUGUAGUUCGUUAGCAUAUGAAUCCCCCUGAGGUAAUUUGGAGGAGGCAAAUGUGCUAAACUAAACACCUCAUUAAAGCAGCACUUUAAAAAACAAAACAACAACAACAAAAAAAAUUCCACCCGAGCCCCAAACUAAUUUCGUGUUCCACUUUUGCUUGUGGAGGUGCUUGGUGGUGAAUAUUCUGUUGUAUGGAAUUCAUUCAUCUGGGUUGCUGGAAAUAGGGGGUUUUUAAAUCACUAAUACGGGCUUUUCUCAGCUAAGAUGCACUUGAGACUAAAGUGUCUUUGAAGAGUGUUCUGUCACAAAGAAGCAAUUAACUGAGGACAAUAAUGUUUUCUUUUUCUCCCAGUCACUAAGCUGAACUCAUGGGCCCCAGGAUUGUACUCAAAUAGCAGGACCUGUUUCUGCUGGGGCUGAAGAGUGAGUGGAUGAGGCCAAAGGCUCUUGGUGGUCCCCAAGAGCAUAUCUGCAGAGGGUUUUGGAUGGGGCCAAGAAGAAGUGCUCACAAGUGUCCCCAGGACCACUGCAUCCCCCAGGAGAAUCUUGCAGAUAUUUUCAGGAAAUUCCUUUAUAACAAAUACGGCUACCAGAGGAACUGGUUGCAAGUCCAGGCAAAUGAUGUAGGACAUUCAUGAUGGUAUUAGCGUUGCUCUUCCUUCCCUUGGUCACACAGGCUGCAGGGUACUCAAACUUCAGUCCUAUUUUGGCACCACAAACAACUUUUCAUCCUACUUCAUCUCUACUAAUUUAUUAAAUCCUGAGUGAGACUGCAAGUCCAUUAAAAUAUUUAAAUGCUGUUUCACAUUUUGAUAAUGAUUUAAAAAACAAAUAAUGGGGAACUUUUUGUUCUUAGAAUCUUAUGGAACAACAGCACUUAUUCUAGCAGAAAAUGACAUUCUAAAUCUGAAUGGAUAACCUUUGCCCAGUGAGGUUGUGCAUACCCCCGCCCUGGAAGCAUUCAAGCCAGGUUGGAUGGGAUUUUGAGUAACCUGGUGUAGAGGGAGGUGUCCCUGCUAUAAGAGGGGGGUUGGAACUAGAUGAUCUUAAAGGCCCCUUCCAACCCAAACUAUUCUAUGAAGUUAAAACAUUAGACCUGCUGGAUUGUGUGGUUUCAUCCAAAAAGCUCAUCUUACUGUUUCAUCCCAAUCUAUUUCAUUUUUCAAAUGUCAGAUAAGACGUUAAGAAGCUAGAAGUGGUAGUUUAGAACUACCAUAACAAUGAUUUAACAUGGAUAAAUGCAACAUAAACUGUACAACGUCGUCAUGUAUGUACACUCCAUAGUUUCUAUCUUCUCUUUUGAAUGUUUUGAUCCUGAAACAAAAGUAGGGAAUCUGAGUUUUGGGAGGAGUAAAAAGUAUCCCUGACCUACAAUCUUAUUUUCAAAGCAUGGCUUGGUAACCUCUUGGAAUUUCCUCAAGGUUUUGUAAAUAUUCUGCUGAGUUCUUUCAAGGUGUUAAUAUGUCAUCCAAAAACCAGAAAGUACUAUUUAUUCUCCACAGGACUCAAUCCAUUCUUCUUCGAAAUCCUGCAGGUAACCAGCUCCCCCCUAGGGUAAUCUCUCAUACUUCAGUAGGCACAUAAGUAUGUGUUAAUUUAGUCAGAAUUAGUGUUUCUUCUCCUUUCCUUCUCCCCUUCCCUUUCCACUUUUCCUGCUCUCUUUCCUUUUUUUCCUCCCCUUCCUUUUCCCUUUCCUUUCCUUAAAUUUUGUUUGCUAUGUUGCUGCCAGGCUUUGGACAAGUGAAGCCUGAAAAAAUCUAUUCCCUCUCUCAGUUUUGUAGGUAAACCCAUGGCUUGGGGAUUUUUAUAGGCACACUGAAUACAGAACUUCUACAUGUAAAAUUAUAUCCACAUUUUCAUCCCCUGUCCAUGUUUUCCUUGCAUGUUUUCAGUGCAAUUAUAUCUUUAAUAAUGGUGUAAUUGCAGAAAUCUUGCAGAAAAUACAAGACUUUAAGCAUUGCAACUGCAAUGUAGAUUUUUAUACUACAGAUUUAUUGGUGAAUAUUUUCUGUUGCAUUUGCAUAAAUACUAUUCCAGAAUAACAAGGUUUCAAAAUAUUUCUCUGUUUCAUUUAACUGGAAGGUCUGUGAUAUAGAGUUAUUUCAGAGAAUCAUAGGAUGUCUUGAGUUGGAAGGGACCCCAAGGAUCAUCAAGCUCCAACCACCCUGCCGCAGGCAGGGCUGCUAACCUCCAUAUCUAAUACUAGACCAGGCUGCCCAGGGCCCCAUCCAACCUGGCCUUGCACACCUCCAGGGAUUUCAUCUAAGAAUGCUUGUUUUUUAUUAUAUCUCUCUUUCAUUAUUACUUUUUUUUUUUUUUAAUGAAUAUAGUCCCCAGAAAACAGAUACAGACGACAAUAGUGAUCUUUGUGAAGAAGCAGCUUUGAAGCCCCCUUUAUUUACCAGAAAACUAUCAUUCCAGAUCCUAAUAAAGCUCAGAGAUUCAGCUGAGCUCGCUGUACUGCAGCAAGCUUAAAUCACAGCUGAAGUGAAAAGAGAGAUUCAGAUUAUGUACUUCCAGAGAAGUGCCCAAGCUCACAGCAGUAAAUAAACACACCUACAAGAGAGGACAGUUUUUCUCCACUCAGCGUAUCCCCAGAUUUCCUUCUUCACUGCUACGUUACCCAUGUGGCAGAUCAGGGCAGAAUCACAAAAAAUUCCUACAUUUUUCUUGUGCCAUAAUAUCACCUCCACUUAUUCCUGUACCUGAUCACUUGUGAUUAAGGCCGAUGAGGAAGACUAGUUUCAAGGGAUGCAGAAAGUUUAGUCGUCCACACAAAACCAUAACGACUCUUCAUUUGUUUUAUACCCCAAGGACAGAUUUCUGCCUGUAGUCAGCAGCACUGAAGCACAUCUUACUCUCAACUGAUGGACUAAUCUGACUCUCUGAGCUACCUUGCCUUGCUCUGAAAACUGAGAUUGCAUGGGAAGAGUUUCUACCAUCUCCUGUACUUAACCAUGAUUCUCCCAACUCAUGUCACACCAAAUUUAACCGUCAACUCUAAGUAAAAUGGAUUAAAAGUCUCCGGAGAGUGAUGAUCUUCUAGAGGGAGAGGCUCCAGUGACUUUUGGAUUGCCAAAAAGAUGAAGACUUUUUUUGCCUCUUAUGAAAUUUGAAAAGAUCACCACUUUAUCUUAGGGCCAGGUCGUUUAAUUACAACGAUUUACCACUGAUAUUAAAACCAAACGUGAUAAUUAUUAAGAAAUAACUAGCAAUUAAUAAAUGUAUUUUUAAAAUAACUAUGACCUUUCACCUUACAGAUCCAGAUUUAAUUAUUGGAAUACUUCCAUCUUUAGAAGAUUAAAAAUAUCAUUUUUCUGGUAGUCAGUAAGAUCCACUGUAUUGCCCAUAAAGAGCCAUGUCUCUGUUACUCAUUAAAUAGAAGUUUUAAAGAGUUUUUAAUUAAGGGAUGAACAAGUAAAUUCAGCCCAUAAGACAAGCAGGACAUGUAUAUGUGGAAUAAAACAAUAAAUAAAGAGAGGAUUAAAUACUUCCAAGUUGUUCAAUGAUGAAUUAAACAAAAGUCCAAAUACAAGAUUUCCUCACCCUUCCUGCUCAAGAUUUAUACCACUAAUCAGCCAAGUUUCAAAUCCUUAAUACAGUAAAGCAUUUGCCUUUAAGGCAGCAGCAAUUCAAGAUUGCUAGCAAAAUGAAUGUAUUUCCAUUAGGCAAAAUAAUUAGGUCAUAUAUUCUAACAGUAUCUUUGGACUUAAAUCUCUUUGGUGAAGGGAACUGUCAAUCACCUACAAUUCGAUCAACAAUCUUGGUCAGAAACCACCCCAUAUGUGGAAAGAAAAUUACAAGUGACUUUUCUGUCCCUUGCAUUUAUUCAAGGUCAUUCAUAAAAAAUAACAGUGAAAUGACAGGUUACAUUUUGUCCUACAAAUCUGGUGCUUUUUGAGGAAUAUAUUUGAAUACUACUUUAUGUUUAUUAAAGCCAGUAUGAGUACCUAUGCAAAUUAAAACUCUUCAAAUCUCCACAUCAGAAUGAACUCAUGCAUUUUAGUACAACUUUUCAGGGUGUUGCAGGUUUGUAAUUGUGAGCACAGUAAAUCUUUACAGUCCAUGAUUACUUGGCUGUUGACUUUGAAGUCCUCAGUGCGCAAGAGAUAUGCUUACAGAACAAACACUGAGCAUUUCUGCUUGGGCAUUCUUCAGAAUCCUUCCCUAGACAGAAGCUUAGCAGAAAGGGAGGGGAUCCAUUUAUUGCCUGGCUGGUGGGAUGGGGCAUUUGAAAAGACAAGGUGUGCCUAAUUGAACAGAAAUUUGCAAUUACUUAGAAUAAAACCCCACCUCAUGCAACUAGGCACUUUAAAAUGUAUAGCUGUUAAUAUGCUUCUGCACAUCUCACUUGGAGAGUGAGCCUCAAUCCUUUAGACACUUGAGCUCAUUUUGCCACAUUUAUAAACCAUGUCAGGGGGUUGUAGCUAAUUAGGGCCUGGCCUUGCAUCUCAUCAGAGGAUAUCACCUGCCGGUGACCCCCAAGCACCACUCUGAGCACCAGUGGUGUUGGGGUGAGAUCUGAAUGGCACACAUGAGAAGGGAAGUAUGAGGGAGGGCUGAGAAAACAUGCAGAACCACUGACUUCUGUACAGGCCUCUGUGCACAGAGUGGCCAAUUAGCUAAUCACUAUUUUGCCUUCCUAUCAGAGCGGUAAAUGGAGUCACUGCAGAAUUGUUGGUGACUAAGCCAAUGAGCACAGCUGAGCCACUGACGGACACUGAACUCUCAAAUAUCAGGGUCAUAAAACAAGGUUUUACCUUGGCUGUUGCGGUUGUAAAGCGCUGUUUGAAGAUGGCAAAUCCCCCUCUUGUUGCUGUCACAGUUCUGUUCUUCCGAUCUUCAAAUUGCAGCCUGCACAUCGCCCUCCUGUGCAAGUCCAUAGGCCAUGACCCACAGCUGCUUCUGCAGUCCCACUGCUAUAGCUGCAUCAAGUAGGAAUACCAUAGGAGAUUAAUAUAACCAUAAUCACAGCUGUAAUUGCCCAUACAGGCUUGGUUAAAGCUAAUAACAGUGUGCCUACCUCUGGUGAAAUCACAUCUUCAUUUUCCUGCAGAGGCACACUUGGACAUAUUCGUACAACGAAGUCCUGGGGUGUGGGCUGCUUUGCAACAUAGAGCUGUGCUAGGUAGAAUGAUCAGUGAGCAAAAAAGAAUGCAUAAGGAAAAUCCAUCAUGUGCUCUAUCAAGUUAUCAGGAGAUUUGUGCAGAAAAGCAAACCCGUGAUGUGGCCUCCCCAUCUAGCUCUGGACUAUUUACCCUGCUGAUGAGAAAAGGCUAUUAAAUACAGAGCCUGAUAUUCUGUUACUAAUAGGGAUCCCACUUAUCUAAUUGAAAGGAAAUUGUGGGAAAGCACCACUAGAGGUCACUCAAAAUUAAUUGUUACCCAAUUAGCACAAUUUGACCCUAAAGUUCAAGACGCUCUACAGCUUUCUUGUUUAAAGUACUAUCAAUUUUGACUCUUGACUGUGAGAAAACUCAGAACAGUUGGAGACAGAAAAUGUUUUAUCAGUUCUCCCCUCAUUCAAAGGUUCCUAAAUUAGCUUUGCCUUUCUCUCUGCCAGCAGCAAAUCAUUUCUUUCUCAGCAAUGAGCUUACAGAUGCUGGCAGUGAUGGACCUCUAGAAGCAUUGUUUUUAGAGGAAUUCAGACCUACCUGUGUUAUCUCAAGCACCUGGUCACCCAUUUUGAAAAUUAGACCAAAAUGAAUUGUACAAGUGAGGGAAUAUAUAGGAAAACAAAACAAAACAAACAAACAAAAAAAAAACAACAAAAAACAACAAAAACCUUUCCAAGAUAAAAGCCUUUUCUUUUUUUUUUUUUUCUUUUUUUUUUUAGAUAUACAUAUACAUAGAAAAUUAUAACCACUGUUGCAUGGAAGAAUGAGUACAUGUUUUUAUAACAACUGCUUGACUAAGUAAAAGAGGUUAAAAGCAAAGUUAACGUUUGAUUAAUGGGUAUGUGUUGAAAUAUCUCUGCGUGUAUUUAAUUAAAAGCAGAUGUUCUAUUUGCAGGGCUUUUGCCAUAAUCUGUGGUAAUGAUGAUAGCAAUUUAUUUGCCAAACCCAACAGGAAAAGCAAUAUCUAAUUAGUGUGCUCUAUAAGAUUAAGCCUACUAACCACUGGUGCACAUGCAUACAUCUCCUGAUGUUAUCAGGAGUCCUCCCAGUGCUCAGUAUGUAAUUCAUGGUCCUACAUAGACCAGAGUGAGGAAACAUUCCCUUCCAGUGCAGCUUGGUGUGGGAAAACUCAUGGGCAGCCACACUUCCAUGAAUGAUGCUCUAUCAGUGCUCUUAUUUCAUUCCUCAUUUCAGGUUACUGAUGAUCCUCUUAUUCUCCCCACCCCUCACUUUCAGCUUAAUGGAUAAAGGGGAGGAUUAGCUACUCAGCUUAUCAAUAUGUAUGAACAUGACAAUAGGAAAGAUUGUGGUAGUUUCUUGAAAUAUCCUUUAAUAACCUCACAAGGCCAGCCAAGGAAGGAUGCAUGGCAUCAGUGCAGCUGCAGAAAAAAACGCUAAAGCAUCAUAACAUGGGCAAGUAAUUUAUGAGGCUCUAGUCUCCUAAUUGUUUCAUCAAGGUGAUAAAUAAAUAAAUAGAUCAUCAGCAUCUGAAGAGCUGUAUGGCUUCCUUCUCUGCUUUCUAGAGAGAUUAAUCUUGCAGAGGUAGAAAGACAGUUUGCCACAAAAUCAUACUCAUAGGCUCAACAAAUGGAAUUUGGAUGUAAUUAUCAUUUUUUAAAAUGGUGAGCCACCAUCUAUCUACUUUUCUGCACAGCAAGACAGUGAAGUCAAGGAAAAUUACUCUGCAUUUAUUCUCUCCCUUAAAAUCUGUAGCAACUGAAUAAUAAGAGCUACUGCUUCAAGGUGUUCAAAUAUCCCAGGCUUCCCUCAUCUGCACAUACUGCUUCUGUGCUGGUGGCAGUGAAAGUCUUGCAACAUUCAGUCACACCUGCCUAUUCAUCAGGACAAAUUUCACUGUUUGGUGGCCACAUUACUCCCUCUCCCGUAGUACUUAGCUGGGCUUGGACUACGCAGUUAGUCCUCACCACAAAGAUUCAAGAUACUCAUGUGUUCUUGUUAUAAAAGGGGACAGAUACAGAGAAAUAAGGGCUGUUUUACAGAAAUCCUAACUAAAACCCAACAUUAUCAGAGCUUUCCCUUCAGAAAACCUCUGCCGUUGGAACUCUUCCUCUAAAAUGAGUAAAAGUGCCAUUGAAUAUAGUCACUUACUCUUGAACGUGCACAGAAAACAUUACUGAGUGCUUCUCAUGCAACAAAGCAUACAUUUUGAAAAUCACAGAAAAAUAAGACAGCGAGCAGCUGAAGCUGUAAGGCUGAGGCAGAGAAAUGGAGGGAAAGAAAACACACUGAAGAAGAGACAGAGUUACUACAGAAGGCCAACAGCUAAAGAUUCUUACUAGAAAAAAUGAAAAUCAGGUGGGCUCAGGUAGAGAGCCCUUUCCUUUCAUUUGCAAGGAAAAUCACAGCUUUUGAUAUGCAAAGAAUUAUAGAAUUUGAUAAGACUUGAAGGUGAGCUACCUAGAGCCAGCAGUUGCCCAGCUGGUUUGCCACAGGGCAAUUUUUGCUAAUUACAUAUCUCUCAUUCCCUGAUCAGUCCAUUCUUCCACCCAUUAUUGCCCUAGCAGCUACUGUGGGAUAUUCUCAGAUAGAACAAAUAAUUUCCUAUUUUGGUCAAAAACAAAGGUUAUUCAGCAAUAGAGGAAAGCAAGGUUUCUACCCAGCUGCCACAACGCAUUUCCAAGAGCUCGUCUUCCCCCCAAAAACCCACCUUUUACUCUGCAUGCCUCACCAUCCAAAAGCUGAUCUCCAGGUUAUGUCAUCUAAUACAUAGCAGCCACAGUUUUCCUCUCAAUCCCCUGUAUUAACUUAACCCAAUAAUUAGAAAGUAGGGGAAAAAAAAUGUCAAAUUUUCUUUUCUUGCUGAAAAAACACAUGCACGGAUGCUUCUUUCACCAAAUAUUUACACUGAGCCUUCAAUGACACCAUUCCUUUUAUCAAACUCUAAUUUUAAAAGCAUUUAGCACAGAGGAGUAAAUGUAGGUUUUCUACGUGGGGUUAAAAUCUUCAUAGGGGUUUAAAACCACUGCCUACACAGUGGGCUUUAGGUGCUCUGAUUUUUGCAAUAGUGCUCAAGCAUUGCUUCAAAAUGACUACUGAAAGCUGGGGGAAAUCAAAUAAUUCUGAUGUAUUAGCUGAAUUAUAAAGCAGUAACAGAGGGCACUGUAAUUGAAUGUAUGGAGAUGAUGAACAUUUGAACUCACACAGCAUAAGUCUUUUAUUUUAAAAUAAUCCAUAAACUGCUUUAGCAAUUCUCUAAAAGCAUAUAAAGAUACAGACAAUUCAUUUAAAAUGGCACUUUCAAUACAGUCUAAAAUCACAGAUUUUAAAAUGAUAAAAAAAUAUAUAUGUGUGAUACUAAAAAUAUUCAGUGCUUCUGAAUUAAAGCAUUUUUUCACUGGCUCUGCUAUAGUGAUUUCUGUUGCUUAUAUCUUGAUUUUCCUUGGGAAAUUGCAGCCAGAACUACUCUGAGCUCAUAGUUCUGGUCUAUUCAUAGAAUCAUAAAAUGGGUUGGGUUGGAAGGGACCUCAAGGAUCACCAAGCUCCAACCCCCCUGGCAGCAGGCAGGGCCUCCAACCUCCUCGUUUAAUACUAGACCAGGCUGCCCAGGGCCCCAUCCAACCUGGCCUAAACCUAUUCCCAGUGAAGAGGUUCAAAUAUGCGAAGGAAUCCUGUCUUUUAAAGAAUUGUUUUUGAUAGAAGGCUCUUAAAUGAACCAAUUAUCAGAGUGUAUUUCCUAUCUAAGCUGAAAUGCAAGAAGGUCCAGCUAGAAGUAACACAGAUGUAGGAAAUCACUGUUGCAAAACUCAAUAUAAAA